rnacentral:ncRNA from 2 species
GGGUCCUGAAGAAUAUGUUUUAAGCUUCAGGAGGAGAUAUAGAUGGUCGGGCCGCCAUCC